rnacentral:rRNA from 1 species
GACGGAGGGUGCUAGCGUUGUUCGGAAUCACUGGGCGUAAAGGGCGCGUAGGCGGCUGUGGCCGUCGGCUGGUGAAAGCCCGGGGCUCAACCCCGGAGGUGGGGCCGAGACCCCAAAGCUGGAGGCCGGAAGAGGAGGGUGGAGUACCCAGUGUAGAGGUGAAAUUCGUAGAUAUUGGGUGGAACACCGGUGGCGAAAGCGGCUCUCUGGGCCGGACCUGACGCUGAGGCGCGAAAGCGUGGGGAGCAAACAGG